rnacentral:rRNA from 1 species
AGCGAACGCUGGCGGCAGGCCUAACACAUGCAAGUCGAACGGCCCUUCGGGGUAGUGGCGGACGGGUGAGUAACGCGUGGGAAUGUGCCCUUUGGUACGGAACAACUGAGGGAAACUUCAGCUAAUACCGUAUGUGCCCUUCGGGGAAAGAUUUAUCGCCAUUGGAGCAGCCCGCGUUGGAUUAGGUAGUUGGUGGGGUAAAGGCCUACCAAGCCUACGAUCCAUAGCUGGUCUGAGAGGAUGAUCAGCCACAUUGGGACUGAGACACGGCCCAAACUCCUACGGGAGGCAGCAGUGGGGAAUUUUACGCAAUGGGGGGAAACCCUGACGUAGCGACACCGCGUGAGCGAAGAAGCCCUUUGGGGUGUAAAGCUCUGUCAACAGGAACGAAAAAAUAGACGGUACCGUGUGGAGGAAGCAUCGGCUAACUAACGUGCCAGCAGCCG